UUGAGGUUGGCAGGGACACCUCUGGGUCUAUCCAGCCCAACCCAAGCUCAAGCAGGGACAUCCAAAUACAUCUGAAGUACACGCCAGUCCCAUAAUCCUGCUCUUCUCUACAAGUUUAAAGCAAGCUUUUUGCCUUCUUUUUCUUCUCCAAGAAACACAAAUGAAUGAAAGAAGUCACGCACAGCCAAGUGUACCAAUACUGCAGCAAGCUCUUCAGCAUUUUAUGUUUAUUCAAAACCCCACUCUUCACAGCUUUGAGUAGGGUAUCUGAAGGUGAGAUUACAAGGAGACUGGGAGGGAAGGGAAAGCAGAGAAGGAAAAAGGAAAAUGCUGACAAGUACACAGUAUUCUAAAUUACUAAUUACCUUUAAAAAAAAAAAGAAAGAAAAGAAAACCUCACAGUAGCCUGCAUUUUCAAGAUCCUGACCACACAAAAAUCUUAUGGAAAGAACUGUAAGCUACAGAGCCUUCAAAAAGUCAAGCUACCAUAUUUCAGGCUUUUUAGCCUAAGCAAUUUUCUUCCUGUAAAACUUGCAUGAGGUCAAAAGAAGCAGCAGUUUUCCCUUCCUCUGCCAUGUAAGAAGGGAAAAAUAUACACCUAUAUCAAUGAAGACUGUAAGAUAAUUGAGGUAAGGGAAGGAGACCCGUUCUGAAGGAUCAAACCACAAUUGGUUCUGCACAAGCUGAUAGCAAAUGAUCCCGCCAGCUAUCGAAUAGUGGUUAUGGGAUUAACCUUCAAGGUUACUGCUAAACAAAAUACUACACAAAUGGUGCAUCUCAUAAUACAGACAUUCUCUUACAAACCAUACACUGCAGAGCUAGAAGCUAGCCAGCCAUAACACCUUUUUGUUUAUAUAGUCCAACUUACAAAGCAACAUAAAUUGAGUAAUCUUAUUCAAGUGGAACAAAAAUUCUUUAUCAAAAUUAAGUACUCAGUUCCUAAAGGACCGAAGUAAGAUAACUGGUUUGUGGGGGGAAAAAAGCCAAUUCCGUAAGGAAAAAAAUACAAAUUUUGACCUGAGCAAGUACUGUUUUUUCUUUUCUUUCACUCAUCUCCUCUAAUUAUCUUUGUUUCAUUCACCUUCCAUUGUGCUGCAAGUCACUGAGGUUCUCAUCCUUCUUUAGUAUUACAGAAAAAUAUGCAGUUUGGAGGACAUCAUUCUAAACAAAUACCAGAAAGGCUGUAAAGCUGUUCUUCAUGCCAAGAAAGAAAGAAAGAAAAAAAAGCUAGAACAAGCUUAAUUUGUGUUCCCUUUGUUCUUAAAUGGCUCUCUCUCCAUAAAUUUCAUCCUUCUGCAAUUUUAGAAGUUCCUCCCCUGCUCCAUAGCAGCUGUAUGGUCUGGGCAGGACAGUCAGUCAUGCUAAUUUGAGAUGUAAAGACACCAGUAACCCGAGUAGAGCUGCACAGAAACAGGCAAGUGGCAAAGGCGUAAUGCCAGCCACUGCAAUCAUAACUGCCAGUGCAUUAAUAGAGAUGCUGUAAUGUCAGUCACAUAUGGCUAUAUAUUCAUAAGAAAAUGAGACAGAACAUACAUCUGUUGGCAAAUGGGAUGAAAUGAAGCUUACAUUACCAGCUGCUCAGCAGAUAUCCAUCGUGAAUAUUGACAGAACUUAUUUCAACACAAUAUUCCAAUAACAAAACACCAUUAAAAUGCCUUCAGGAAAACCGUUUUCAAGAAAAACACCGGGGGUCCUUAAGUAAACUGUCAGAAGCUAUUAAUUGGGUGUUGCCAAAUUUACAAAUUUUGGAAAAGGAAGGGGCCUGGAAAUAUGAAAGACAGCAAACUGUAAAAGUCCAGAGUACAGAAGUGAGGUAAACAAGCUGUUACACUUGUUCAUGGGAAAAAGAAACUGGAAGAAGCCUAGCACCCUUCCUACCAGCCAGAUGAGCAAGCUGAUCUAGCCAAAAACAUAUCCUCCAAAACCAGCAGCUGACUUUCACCUGGACCAACUACCUUACAUCAACUGAGUACACACACACAGCAGGGCAGGGUGAGAGGUGAGUGCCACAGCAGCCCACACGGCUCUCAGCUGAAGCUGUACUCAAAAGCUUUUCCUUUUUUGCUUGAAGCUGAAUCAAUCCUAGUGCAGGCCCAGCAUGGUCCUGCAUUCAGCAGUGCCAGUAAAACUGCAAAGGUGUUUUACAGCGCAAGUGAGAAACAGGGGAGGAGAACUUGCAAACAGAAUUGCAUUUGAAUGCUUUCUGAACUCAAUGUACUGCCCUCAGAAGGGAAGAAAGAAAAAGCUUAUCUCUAGGGGUGAAUUUAAGACCGCCAUCAUAAUGUCCUGGAGCAAAGGCUAGGACACAUGCCAUGCUUUCAGGUAACAUGGAGUGGGCUGAAACACCUCAAAGGGAUGUUGAAGGAGCUGUUUCAGAGAAGAAAAAACGUACUACCUUUGUUUUAAAGGUGGAAAAAUACAACACUGAACCACACAUUCAAAAUCCUCAGAGCUACAAAAAAAUGUAGCAUGAACAAGAAAGUCCUUUCGCUUACAGGCAUGAAUCUUCUCUCUCAAAAAGAGGUCAAAAUCCUCACAGCACAGAGAACAUCUGUAUGAUCCAUAUUUCAGGGGAUAGUGACUUAAAAAGUGGAAUCAACUGAGUCUUGUUAAUGACAUUGAAAAAUGUUCAGCAGAGCCCCAGCUCUUACCACGUCUUUUCCACUGAACUGAAUGCACUGACCUUGCCUGUAAUUACAGCGCAAUUCCUUUCCCUGAGGAACACUCUGCAGCCUGCAAACAUCCCUCGAGCCUGCAGCAGCUCUGUAUAGUUCCUAAUUAUCUCCAAAAUCUGUCCACAGGCUCUCUUAAUACUUUCUUAUGAACAUACAUUAAAGUUUUGCUAUACUCCCCCAAAAUCCCAGCAUACCCUCGUAUGUGACACAGACUGCAACACUGGAAGUAAUUUUUAAAAUUAAAAAAAAAAAAAAAAAAAAAAGAAAUAG